rnacentral:lncRNA from 1 species
GGGGGUUUAUGUGUACAUGGAAAUGUUACGUAUAAAAUUUGAUUGCCGACUGAAUUUUUUGACACAGAAAAUGACAAUUGGUUAAAAUUGUUAGUACGCCAAAAACGCACAUACAUAACGAAUUUUAUCUGUUAUCUAUGUGGAAAAUUUGGCGUAAAGUAUAAUGGUGUUAUGUAUGUGGCACUCAUACAUAACGAAUAUUUAUACGUUAUCUAUAUUAUUAUAUAUAACGGUUUCUAGCGUUAUGUAUUAUUGAUUUUACCGUUAUGUAUUAGAAAUAUAUUUAUUUUUUUCAUCAUAGUUAACAGUUUUUUGUACUUUAAACAACGGUUUUAACCGUUAUCUUUGUCAUAAUACAUAACAGUUCUUUACCGUUAUGUAUACCAACUACAGCUUUUAGCAUAUUUUUAAUACCUUUUCUCAAUUUUUCUGUUAUUUAUCUAAAAAAAAUGAAUAAAUGAAAUUAAAAAAAUAAAAUGAUAAAACCAUCAAUAACAUAUAUUAUAUAUAUCACAAAAUAUUCAUACAUUAUCAUCCAAAACCUUCAUACAUAAUGUUUUGAGCCCAACUCAACAAAAAAAAAAAAAAAAACUAGGGCUUCUGUUGCCUUCUAAAACCAGCACCUCUCUAUAAGCUCUAUAAUCUUGUACGUAUCUUGUCCUUCAACUAUAUAACUGUUGAGCCACUUAGUGAAGAGAUGAUCUUUCAAACUCUUGUUGGGCAUGUACUCGUACACCAGCAGCCUCUGGAUUCCUC